UGGGGAAUAUUGGACAAUGGGCGAAAGCCUGAUCCAGCCAUGCCGCGUGAGUGAAGAAGGCCCUAGGGUUGUAAAGCUCUUUCAGCGGGGAAGAUAAUGACGGUACCCGCAGAAGAAGCCCCGGCCAACUCCGUGCCAGCAGCCGCGGUAAGACGGAGGGGGCUAGCGUUGCUCGGAAUUACUGGGCGUAAAGCGCGCGUAGGCGGUACGGCAAGUUGGGCGUGAAAGCCCAGGGCUCAACCCUGGAAUUGCGCUCAAAACUGCCGCACUGGAGUCCGGGAGAGGAGAGUGGAAUUCCCAGUGUAGAGGUGAAAUUCGUAGAUAUUGGGAAGAACACCAGUGGCGAAGGCGGCUCUCUGGCCCGGUACUGACGCUGAGGUGCGAAAGCGUGGGGAGCAAACAGG
rnacentral:rRNA from 2 species